rnacentral:rRNA from 1 species
AACGAACGCUGGCGGCAUGCCUAACACAUGCAAGUCGAACGAGACCUUCGGGUCUAGUGGCGCACGGGUGCGUAACGCGUGGGAACCUGCCCUUAGGUUCGGAAUAACUCCCCGAAAGGGGUGCUAAUACCGGAUAAUGUCUUCGGACCAAAGAUUUAUCGCCUUUGGAUGGGCCCGCGUUGGAUUAGCUAGUUGGUAGGGUAAAAGCCUACCAAGGCGACGAUCCAUAGCUGGUCUGAGAGGAUGAUCAGCCACACUGGGACUGAGACACGGCCCAGACCCCUAGGGGAGGAAGGAGGGGGAAAUAUUGGAGAAGGGGCGAAAGCCUGACCCAGCAAGCCCGCGGGAUUGAUAAAGGCUUGAGGGUUGUAAAGCUCUUUUCCCGGGGAUGAUAAGGACAGUCCGGGAAAAAUAAGCUCCGGCUAACCCCGUC